AAUGCAAGAGUCAAUUUAACACGGCUCUUCCACACAGAGCUGGAACAUGUUCAACCCAGAGUGUGACCUCCCUGCAGCCCUGGCCCAGGCCCUCUCACAAGGAGGAGGCCAGGAGCACAUGAAAUUUAACAAGCUGUGAAGCCAGCCGGGCACAGAACCCCCGGCGUGGAAGGCUCCCCUGUGAAAAUGCAGGAGGAAAGGCACAAAGGCAAUCUCCCUAGCCUCUCUACGUGGAAGUGUCCCCAUCUGUGACAUGCAGCAAACAACAGCGCCUUCCUGUGCUCGCUCUUUUUGGGAUUACACCAGACUGCAGGCGUGCUCAAUAAACGGCAGCUAUUUGCA